UACGUAGGGGGCAAGCGUUGUCCGGAUUUAUUGGGCGUAAAGAGCGUGUAGGCGGCUUGGUAGGUCUCGCGUCAAAACCUGAGGCUCAACCUCAGUUCGCGUGGGAAACCACCUAGCUAGAGUCCGGAAGAGGAGAACGGAAUUCCCAGUGUAGCGGUGAAAUGCGCAGAUAUUGGGAAGAACACCAGUGGCGAAGGCGGUUCUCUGGGACGGUACUGACGCUGAGACGCGAAAGCGUGGGGAGCGAACGAGG
rnacentral:rRNA from 1 species